CCUCCUUGGUUGAACGAUCGUGGCCCUCCUCCUCCGCCGGCACAACUCAUGUGGGCGACCUCUUCUCUCCGCCGGCACGGCUCAUCUCGGCGACGGCUUGCGCAACCCUCCUCUCUACGCUGCUGAGGAAGGUUUAGUCUGGGAGUACAAGGGAAAUAAAAAAAAAAUAAGUUUUAUUACUCCAACAAACCUUGAGGGAAUGGGGAGAAUAAUGAUUUUCAUGAAGAAGGAGAAGAUGGAGAUGAAGAUGGAGAAGGAGAAAAGGUGAAGGAGAAGGAGGAGAAGAAGAAGAAUAUUGAUUGCUUUUGGAAUUGAUAGGUUUUUCUUAUUUUGAAAGAUUGUUUGGAACUUAGGAUGACAUCUUGAAAUUUUAUUUUGCUGCUGUUUUUGUUGAAUUUAACAUUGGCAUGAAUUGACUAGAAGCUGUCAAGUUGAACAGUAUUAGGCAUUGCCAUUUUUUGUAGUAGUUUUAUUUAUUUUUUGC